UACGUAGGGUGCAAGCGUUGUCCGGAAUUAUUGGGCGUAAAGAGCUCGUAGGCGGUCUGUCGCGUCGGAUGUGAAAACCCAGGGCUCAACCCUGGGCCUGCAUUCGAUACGGGCAGACUAGAGUUCGGUAGGGGAGACUGGAAUUCCUGGUGUAGCGGUGAAAUGCGCAGAUAUCAGGAGGAACACCGGUGGCGAAGGCGGGUCUCUGGGCCGAAACUGACGCUGAGGCGCGAAGGCGUGGGGAGCGAACGGG
rnacentral:rRNA from 1 species